rnacentral:rRNA from 1 species
AACGAACGCUGGCGGCAUGCCUAACACAUGCAAGUCGAACGAGACCUUCGGGUCUAGUGACGCACGGGUGCGUAACGCGUGGGAACCUGCCCUUAGGUUCGGAAUAACUCCCCGAAAGGGGUGCUAAUACCGGAUAAUGUCUUCGGACCAGAGAUUUAUCGCCUUUGGAUGGGCCCGCGUUGUAUUAGCUAGUUGGUAGGGUAAAAGCCUACCAAGGCGACGAUCCAUAGCUGGUCUGAGAGGAUGAUCAGCCACACUGGGACUGAGACACGGCCCAGACUCCUACGGGAGGCAGCAGUGGGGAAUAUUGGACAAUGGGCGAAAGCCUGAUCCAGCAAUGCCGCGUGAGUGAUGAAGGCCUUAGGGUUGUAAAGCUCUUUUACCCGGGAUGAUAAUGACAGUACCGGGAGAAUAAGCUCCGGCUAACUCCGUG